rnacentral:rRNA from 1 species
AUUGAACGCUGGCGGCAGGCCUAACACAUGCAAGUCGAGCGGAUGAAGGGAGCUUGCUCCUGGAUUCAGCGGCGGACGGGUGAGUAAUGCCUAGGAAUCUGCCUGGUAGUGGGGGAUAACGUCCGGAAACGGGCGCUAAUACCGCAUACGUCCUGAGGGAGAAAGUGGGGGAUCUUCGGACCUCACGCUAUCAGAUGAGCCUAGGUCGGAUUAGCUAGUUGGUGGGAUAAAGGCCUACCAAGGCGACGAUCCGUAACUGGUCUGAGAGGAUGAUCAGUCACACUGGAACUGAGACACGGUCCAGACUCCUACGGGAGGCAGCAGUGGGGAAUAUUAGACAAUGGGCGAAAGCCUGAUCCAGCCAUGCCGCGUGUGUGAAGAAGGUCUUCGGAUUGUAAAGCACUUUAAGUUGGGAGGAAGGGCAGUAAGUUAAUACCUUGCUGUUUUGACGUUACCAACAGAAUAAGCACCGGCUAACUUCGUG